GACGUGACUUCAGAGUUUGAUCCUGGCUCAGGACGAACGCUGGCGGCGUGCCUAACACAUGCAAGUCGAACGAAGCAUUUGGAGCUGAUCCCUUCGGGGUGACGCACCUUAUGACUUAGUGGCGGACGGGUGAGUAACAACGCGAGCAACCUGCCUCUCAGAGUGGAAUAACAGUUGGAAACGGCUGCUAAUACCACAUAACGUUUUUGUGCCGCAUGACACUUCAACCAAAGAUUUAUCGCUGAGAGAUGGGCUCGCGUCCGAUUAGGUAGAUGGUGGGGUAACGGCCUACCAUGCCGACGAUCGGUAGCCGGACUGAGAGGUUGAUCGGCCACAUUGGGACUGAGACACGGCCCAG
rnacentral:rRNA from 1 species